CCUGCCUCACACAGGGGGACAACAGUUGGAAACGACUGCUAAUACCGCAUAAGCGCACAGCUUCGCAUGGAGCAGUGUGAAAAACUCCGGUGGUGUGAGAUGGAUCCGCGUCUGAUUAGGUAGUUGGUGAGGUAAUGGCUCACCAAGCCGACGAUCAGUAGCCGGCCUGAGAGGGUGACCGGCCACAUUGGGACUGAGACACGGCCCAAACUCCUACGGGAGGCAGCAGUGGGGAAUAUUGCACAAUGGGCGAAAGCCUGAUGCAGCGACGCCGCGUGAGCGAAGAAGUAUUUCGGUAUGUAAAGCUCUAUCAGCAGGGAAGAAAAUGACGGUACCUGACUAAGAAGCUCUGGCUAAAUACGUGCCAGCAGCCGCGGUAAUACGUAUGGAGCAAGCGUUAUCCGGAUUUACUGGGCGUAAAGGGAGCGUAGGCGGCAGGGCAAGUCUGAUGUGAAAACCCAAGGCUCAACCUUGGGACUGCAUUGGAAACUGCUCAGCUAGAGUGUCGGAGAGGUAAGUGGAAUUCCUAGUGUAGCGGUGAAAUGCGUAGAUAUUAGGAGGAACACCAGUGGCGAAGGCGACUUACUG
rnacentral:rRNA from 1 species